rnacentral:lncRNA from 1 species
GGAAGAUAUACGUGGCAACAUGAGUAAUGAAGGCUCACCCAGGGUUUAGCAUUUUGAGGUUCUAUGCAGAAGUCUUAACUCAGAAACAGCAUAGAUUGUGGAUUCCACAGCCUGAGGAAGAUGAAAUGGGAAGAUGUGAGAUGGCUACAAAAUAUCGGUCAAAUUCACUGAAUACCAAGUCCCCAUCAGAG